CAGCGGUAAAGUCACCUCUGUUAGCCGUUAGCUGUUAGCCUGCUGUGAUUAACGAUGGCGCCUCCGGUGGCUGUGUCUCCCCUCAUCAAGGUUUGUGUCUCCUCAUCAAGACGGCGAGAUAUUCUGCUCUGAUCGCCGGCAUCAUCUACGGCAAAAGGAGAUAUGAUCACCUGAAGCCGAUUGCAGCUGAGGAGAGGAGGAUCGAGGAGGAGGAGAAGAAGGUUCGUGA